rnacentral:rRNA from 1 species
CGCUGGCGGUGUGCUUCACACAUGCAAGUCGAACGAGGUAGCAAUACCUAGUGGCGGACGGGUGAGUAACGCGUGGGAAUCUGCCUUUAGAUGGGGGAUAACGGGUCGAAAGACUCGCUAAUACCGCAUAUGACGAAAGUUGAAAGGAGUAAUCCGUCUAAAGAUGAGCCCGCGUCCGAUUAGCUAGUUGGUAGAGUAAAAGCCUACCAAGGCGACGAUCGGUAGCUGGUCUGAGAGGAUGAUCAGCCACAAUGGGACUGAGACACGGCCCAUACUCCUACGGGAGGCAGCAGUGGGAAUUUUACGCAAUGGGCGAAAGCCUGACGUAGCGACACCGCGUGAGCGAAGAAGCCCCUUGGGGUGUAAAGCUCUGUCAGCUGGAACGAAAAAAAUGACGGUACCAGCAGAGGAAGCAUCGGCUUACUACGUG